CUUGUCCAGUUAAAUAAAAUAAAUAUAAAGUUUCAGAGCCUACACCGGAAGUAGGCAGUCAGUAUUUGUUCAUUUGAAUGACAAGACAGCAGCCAUGGAGACUCGGCGCUUGACUUCCUACAAAGGGUGUGUUCGUAAAUUCACUCUGGCUAUCAACUCCAAUUUCAGUGCACUCUCGUCUAAGUGUGCCAGAUUGCAGAAUAAUUUAGGAAUUCCUACAAAGUUCCAACCUUGCCCUAGACACACUCAGUGGGAGUGAUGAGAGCAUCUGGUUUGAGGAUGUUCUUAAUGAUCCAGCUCAAUGUGAAUUGAUGGGAGAGCCACAUCUCAGGAUGGAGUACAAGUUGGGACUGAUGUAAGAGUCUCCCAACUAGUGUUACAUUUGUCUGUGGGUUUAUUUCUGUAUUUAAGUUUUUAUUACAUGCCAGAUACAUUCAUAUUUCACACUGCAAUUGUAUGAGGAUGGACAACAUGUUGUUUAAUGUAGUUUUUAUUAUUGGUUUGUGUUACGAAGCAGCACACAGGCGUUUUUAAUAGAAAAUAAGCAACUCACAAGAGUCGUACCUUCCUAUACUGCAGUCCACAGAGAACAUUACUCAUG